rnacentral:rRNA from 1 species
CACGUAAGGGGCAAGCGUUGUUCGGAUUUAUUGGGCGUAAAGGGUGCGCAGGCGGUUUAACAAGUCUGAUGUGAAAGACCGGAGCUUAACUUCGGAACCGCGUUGGAAACUGUUAGACUAGAGUCAUGGAGGGGUAAGGGGAAUUCCUAGUGUAGGGGUGAAAUCUGUUGAUAUUAGGAAGAACACCGGUGGCGAAGGCGCCUUACUGGACAAUGACUGACGCUGAGGCACGAAAGCAUAGGUAGCGAACAGGAUUAGAUACCCCUGUA